GACGAACGCUGGCGGCGUGCUUAACACAUGCAAGUCACGGGGGCCCAGCAAUGGGUAACCGGCGAACGGGUGCGUAACACGUGAGCAACCUGCCGAUCUGAGGGGGAUAGCCGGCCCAACGGCCGGGUAAUACCGCAUACGGUUUCUAUGGGACAUCCUGUGGGAACGAAACCUCCGGGGCAGAUCGAGGGGCUCGCGGCCUAUCAGCUAGUUGGUGGGGUAACGGCCCACCAAGGCGACGACGGGUAGCGGUCUGAGAGGAUGGCCAGCCACAUUGGGACUGAGAGACGGCCCAGACUCCUACGGGAGGCAGCAGUGGGGAAUCUUGCGCAAUGGCCGAAAGGCUGACGCAGCGACGCCGCGUGUGGGAUGAAGCAUUUCGGUGUGUAAACCACUGUUGCCCGGGGACGAACACCUUUCUUUCGAGAAGGCUGACGGUACCGGGUGAGGAAGCA
rnacentral:rRNA from 1 species